rnacentral:rRNA from 1 species
AUUGAACGCUGGCGGCAGGCCUAACACAUGCAAGUCGCACGAGUGGCGGACGGGUGAGUAAUGUCUGGGAAACUGCCUGAUGGAGGGGGCUAACUACUGGAAACGGUAGCUAAUACCGCAUACCAUCAGAUGUGCCCCGAUGGGAUGAGCUUGUUGGUGGGGUAACGGCUCACCAAGGCGACGAGCCCUAGCUGGUCUGCAAGGAUGACAAGCCACCAUGGAACUGAGACACGGUCCAGACUCCUACGGGAGGCAGCAUUGGGGAAGAUUGCACAAUGGGCGCAAGCCUGAUGCAGCCAGUCCGCGGGUAUGAAGAAGGCCUUCGGGUUGUAAAGUACUUUCAGCGGGGAGGCGUGACCCGCAGAAGAAGCACCGGCUAACUCCGUGCCAGCAGACGCGGUAAUUC